rnacentral:lncRNA from 1 species
CAUUGCCCCAGGGCCGGGCACAGGUGCAACGCGGCUUGAUCACCAGGGCUCUGGCCUCUGCUGACCGCGGGCCUGAACGCAGGACCCCACUGGUCCUCUGCUGCCACCUUGUGGCCACUUCCCAGAUGGCAGGUAGGAGCCUGAGAUCUUUCUCUGGUUCCAGUUCCGGGAAACUCUUGGGCCCCCUGGAGCCUUGCCCACCCCCGGAGUGCUUCGUGUGGCCAAAUACUGUGGGCGAUUAUCGGGGCCUGGAACCAGGAGUCUGGGGAGCCUUUGGGCACAAGGUGACGUGUAAGUUGUUUCCUGGCGGUAAGCGUGGAGCAUCUGGAUGGGAAGACAUUGCGAUGACAAGAGACAAGGAGGACGUGUCAGGUCGAGGACACAGCAGACCAGAGGACCGCUUCAUCAGGAGCACCUGCAUGGAUCCACAGGGUGUGGGAGCUAAUAGAGACUGUGAAGAGGGGGCCCCACUUGCAGAGGAGAAGACAGAGUCUCA